CUAGCCUGCCUCCUUCCUCGCGCCGCCACCAUUCCCCUCUUCAUCUCUCUCGAUUUCCUUCUUCUGUGUGAACCAACACACCACCACCGUACGUAUCCUCCUCAACCUCACCAUGGCCCCGCCGUUUCCGACCGCCCCUAGAAGAACCGAGACCACCCAGAGCUCCGCCUCGUCAUCCUCUACGUCCUUGUAUAAGGAAUCGAUCUGGGAGGCCUUCAAUCGCCGCCAAGAUCGCCGUUCCUCCACCACUACCGCAACACUCUGGUGAAGAUUCCGGCGCCUCCCGACCACCUCCGGCCACGCUGGCCACUUCUACACCAUCUCGGUGAGCACGUGCACCACCCGAAGCUCUCCUCUGAACCUAUCUUCCUCUCUAGUGGUCUACCGGCGUUGACGCCGUUUUACCGCCGCAGAUGUCACCGCCGGCGCCUCCAUGGUGCCUCCCCGGCUUCAACUCCGCCAGAUCCCGCACCACCAUGAAGGUCCGCGUCGAACGCGCCCUCUCCCGCUUCCUGGUUCGGCCGCAAUCGUCAGAUCCGUGGUCGACCAGAGCUCACCUCCGCCAUGGACGUUUUUCUUGUCACAGAUCUCCGCCUUUGCCUGGUUCAAAAGGUUGCGUGACAUGGACUUGACACGAUCAGAGAUGUAGCAUAGUGAUCCAGCGCCUAUUGGGCCUAGGCCCAUGUUCCCGCCAGCUUCUUCGACGCUGAGCGUGCGGCAGGCCUCUAUCCGCUGCUCAGCACUUUGCUUCUUCCCGGAUAGGGUCACGAAGCGGUGUGGUGAGAUACGACAAGUUCUUCG